rnacentral:rRNA from 1 species
UCCCAGACUCCUACGGGAGGCAGCAGUGAGGAAUAUUGGUCAAUGGGCGCAGGCCUGAACCAGCCAAGUCGCGUGAGGGAAGACUGCCCUAUGGGUUGUAAACCUCUUUUAUAAGGGAAGAAUAAUGACUACGUGUAGUCAGAUGCCCGUACCUUAUGAAUAAGCAUCGGCUAACUCCGUGCCAGCAGCCGCGGUAAUACGUAGGGGGCGAGCGUUGUCCGGAAUCACUGGGCGUAAAGGGCGCGUAGGCGGUAAUAUAAGUCAGAUGUGGAAGGUGGGGGCUCAACCCCUAGAGUGCAACUGAUACUGUAUAACUUGAGUGUGAGAGAGGGAAGCGGAAUUCCUAGUGUAGCGGUGAAAUGCGUAGAUAUUAGGAGGAACACCAGUGGCGAAGGCGGCUUUCUGGCUCAUAACUGACGCUGAGGCGCGAAAGCGUGGGGAGCAAACAGGAUUAGAUACCCCAGUA